CUCAGGAAGGACUCGGGGGGGCUCAGGAAGGACCCGGGGGGGCUCAGGUGGACACGAGGGACCCCCGGCCGGACCCCGGGGGGCGAUGUCACCGUGCCCAGGGUGGGGGGCACCCCCCCGAGAGGGUCCCCUCGCCCCCCGAGGAGCGGCGGAGUCCUUGGAGCUGAAGGAGGAGGAGGAGGAGGAGGAGGAGACACGCACAGACCGGGCCGGGUCACGCGUGGGGACACGAGGGACACGCGGGGGAGGUGACACGGCUUGGUCACCGCACCGGGACACGCUCAGCCCCGCACCCACCCCCCCACCCCCGGCAGGCGCUGAGCGAGGAGGAGGAUGAUGAUGAAGAUGAUGAUGAUGAUGCCCCAGAGGAAGCCGCCCGCUCCCCCCAUCCUUCCUUCCAGGUCCUUCCAGGUCCUUCCAGGUCCUUCCAGGACCCCAAGGAGUGAAUUUGGGGGCUCCUGGGGGGGGGCAGGGGCUGCCCGGUGCGUCCCCUCCGUGUCCCCCCCUGCGGGCUCCGCGUCCCUCGGGCUCCUCCGGGGAGGAUCCGCUCCCACCCCCGGGACCCCCGGGACCCCCGAGACCCCCGGGACCCCCGGCCCGGCCCCUCCGCCCCCCGCGGGUGACCUGAGGCCGCCUCAGGAGGACGUGGAGCCUCGGCCGGGUGUCCCCACGGACGUUUGGGACACGCGUGUGACACGUGUGUGUGUUCGGCACAGGAAAACCUCCACACUCAGGAUUUUGCCCCAUUUUUGGCUCGUCCCACCCAGCCCCGUGGCUCGGGACCUGCAGCGGGGACGUGUCCCCAGCCCUCGGGGGUGGCACUCGCACUUUGGCCACGUCGGUCACACUGAGGGGGGGGUGGGGACACAAUAAAGUCCCCAAAGGGAUGACGGUGGCUGUGUCCGUGCCUGGAGCUGCUGGGAGGGGUCCCAGGACCCCGGGAAGGAGCCCAAAGACCCCGGGAAGGAGCCCAAAGACCCCGGGAAGGAGCUCCAGAACCCCGGGAAGGAGCCCCAGAGCCCCGGGAAGGAGCUCCAGAACCCUGUAAGGAGCCCCAAAACCCAGGAAGGAUCUCCAGGCCCCGGGAAGGAGCCCCAAGACCCCGGGAAGGAGCCCCAAGACCCCGGGAAGGAGAGACCACGGUCCCUUUGUCCCCGGGCUGUCGCUGUCCCCAUCCUGGCCGCUCACCGGGACCCCCCGGUGGCACCGGCCCAGGGCGCUGCAAUUCCUGGGAAAGGGAAGUCCCGGUGGAUCAACAGCCCCGGGGCUUCCCCGUGGAGAGCAGCCAGGGCGGGAUGAUCCGGGAUUAUCCCCGCGGCCCCUCCGGCACCGGGGGCUGCAUCCCAAAACCCGGGGGUGGGAGAGGACGGUCCCAUCCCGGGAUGGAUCCGGCUCCUCCAGGAUUCCCCCCUGAACCUGGGGGUGUGUGGGACCCCAAACCUGGCGGGGACCCCCCGGUGCCAUCCCCAUCCCGGUUCCCCGUUCCCAUCCCAGAAAUAAA